rnacentral:rRNA from 1 species
UACAGAGGGUGCAAGCGUUAAUCGGAAUGACUGGGCGUAAAGCGUGUGUAGGUGGUUAGAUAAGUUAGAUGUGAAAUCCCCGGGCUUAACCUGGGAACUGCGUUUAAGACUGUCUAGCUAGAGUACUGUAGAGGAUAGUGGAAUUUCCAGUGUAGCGGUGAAAUGCGUAGAUAUCGGUAGGAACACCAGUGGCGAAGGCGGUUCCCUGGGGCACUCUUGACGCUGAUGCGCGAAAGCUGGGGGAGCGAACGGG